rnacentral:piRNA from 1 species
UACCAGCGUGACACCCAUUUUGAAGUUAGC